rnacentral:lncRNA from 10 species
GAUGGGGUUUCGCCACGUUGCCCAGGACGGUUUUGAACUCCUGGGGCCAAGCGAUCUGCCUUCCUCGGCCUCCCAAAGUGCUGGGAUUGCAGGUGCGAGCCACUGCUCCUGGCCCAUAAGUCUUUCAGUGUAGAAGAGGGAAGCAGAAGAGGUCAAAGUGGUGCCAUGUGAGAGCUCAACCCACCCUUGCUGGAGGAAGGGAGCCAGAGCCAAGCUGGAAAAGGUGGAUAAAGGACUGUGUGGGGAAAGUACCAAAUAAAUGAGGUAAAAAGGAAGGGUCAUACAAAGAGGGCACUACACCAGCUUC